GAUUUACUUCUCCAGCUGUGGAAUAAACUGCUUGGUUAUAAAUGUUAGCCAUUAACUAUGGCAGUUAGCACAAGGAAAAUUGCAGUCAUAUAACAACACAAGAUAGAAACGACUUCUUGCCUCUGUGGCAUCUCCGUGAGCUGUAAAGAAUAGAGAGGAAUUCUGCACUUAACCUCAAGGACAGUUUGGUUGGUUUGCAUCCCAGCCUUUACUAGCUCACAUUGUUUUAUAUCAUGCAGUAUCAAAAGAAAAAGGCAUUGGUGGAAGAAGAGGGGCUGCCUGACAAACUGGUGCCUGACGUGGCAGUGCAUGUGAAGCAGAGAUGCUGCACUGAACUUUUGGCAUUUCUCAAAUGAAAAUUACUACUUUAUCAAGACCUACCACUGGUCUUUAUUAGUGAGGUCUCACUUCCUUAAUGACUGCCUGACAAGUUGUUCACUCAUGAUCUGAUGGAUUUGUUCCCAAAAACCAGCAUGCAGCUCCCAAGCAAUGAUAGAAUAUGUAUCCUCUUUUUGAACGUACGUCUAUUAUACUUUUGUUUCCAUAGAAAAAAAAGUGCUAAUUACUCCUGUUUAUGUUAUUAUUCUAAGAAGGAUCAUUUAUUUAUUUAUCAUAUGCAUUAGAGUUUCAAUAAUUUUAGUCCUCAUUUUACCUCUACUAUAUUUAAAAUGUCUUGUAAAAGGGAUUUAAUAAUGAUUUUCUGCCUUUCCCUGUGAAUUACUGGUAUGCAACUUGGUUAAAGUUCUUAAGCUUUCAAAGUAAUUGAAAAGUUGAGUUGAAUCUAGGAAGAAUUAACUACUGAUAUUUUUAGAAAAUAAAUUAAAGCCUUUCUGCCUUUCAGUAGACCAGCCUUCUGAAUAUCCUUUAAGAGCUGUACGCAGCAUCAGUUUUAGAGAGUGUUCUCACUAAUGUCAGCCUUUUGAAUUUCACAAGGUAAUUUUGACUGCAACAAGUAGAAAAAAAUCCCAUCAUUUUAGUUGACAGCAUUCUGCCAUGUAGUUAAGUUUUAUUUAAACAGAGGCAUGAUUUUACUGAAUAAGUAUAAUGAAUCUUGCAGUACUUUAUGCAAACAUAUUUUAUGCCAGAUAUUGUCCUUCAAGAGCUAUUUCAGUCUGAUAAUUUCUUUUGGUUGAACGUAAUAUGGCUGUCCCUAUAUUUUAAUGAGAAAUAUGCCUUCUCUGAAAUUAUCCAGUUUCAUGCUUGAGUUUAUCAUUGUGAUGUACUCACACCAAAACCUCUAAAUUGUGUGUUAAGUGCAUUUGACUGUCAUAGGAUGCAGACAUUUGUACAGUGUCAGAGUUCUGUCCCAUCCAUACAGUGUAGUUUCUCCCCAGUGAUGCUUGUGAUGAGCACAGGAAAAAAUAAAAAUAAAUAAAUAAAAAUAAUAAUAAAAAACCCACCCACAAAACAUUUCUAGUAUUUUUGCUAUAAAACAAGGCUUAUUUCCUUUCUCCUGUGGCCAACUAUGUGGAUUUCAUACUGCUAGGAUUAUUAUGAGAAAAAAUCCUUGUCAGUUCUGCCCCUUUGAACUCCUCUUUAGAGCUCAAUUCAAACUAAGGGAGUAGCAAAAAUGUUUCCAGUCAUCCUAGAUGACAACAUCGUGCCAUACCAGGAAGUUUGAUCUAAAAUGAGACUUACUAGCUUACUGAAAAGAGAGCGCAGGCAAUGAAUUAUUCAGAGCUUCUAGUCAUCAGCCUUCUUUUAUACCAUGUUCCAUCCCAGGAUAGAUGGUUCAAGCUCAAGUACUAUAUUUGUCAAAAGUAAACUAAACCUGCUGCCCAAAUCCCACAAUGGCAGUGUUAAACUGUUUGUAUAUUGUUAUGGCUGUCAGUUAAGGCAACUAAAGCACAGAAAUUCUGAGCAGGGAUGUCCCCAUGUUCUUAACUCAUCCCCUUGUGUUUUCACUUUGCAUGAACUCAGAAAACAAGCAAUGUUGCAAGAAUUACUGAGGCUGCAACAACACCUAGGCACAGGGGAAUCCAUUCAGAAUAGCGUCAGUGAUGCAGCAGUAACUCUAGAUUUCCUCUGUUUGUGUUUAAUUUAAAACAUUAUUUGUAGACUUUUUUUUUUUUCUUUUGUAGACAGCAGAGAGAUUUUAUAAAUGCAAAUCGCAUGGCCAUCACUUGGAAGUUUUAAACAAGAGACUCUAGUUUCUUGAUGUGAUACUUCACAUGAUCCCAUUGGAUUUAAAACAGAAAAAAUUAGCUCAGUGUUAUUGUUACACAUACUGUUUUUUGUGAUUUUUACUCUUUUCUUCAGUUUGCUUGUAUAAAGAGACUAUUUAUUAAAACAAUUAAGAAAGAUAAAGUCUGCUCAAAUGAACAUGAAAAUUUUCUCCCAAACUUGUUUUAUAUUUUUGGGUAUAUAUUUGGGAAGUGUCAGUAACUGGGUGCUAUUCCACUAUCUUAAAUAGUCUCUAACUUAAAUCAAUCACUGUGAGCACAGUGAUUCAUUCAUCAUAAUUACAGUUUUUAAAAAUAUUUACUCUUUCAGUUACUCUACUAAAUCUACCACCAUUUUAAAACUGAUAUUUUCUGAGCAAGCCUAGUCCAAAUUCUUCUUCUUACAUUUGAUAAAAUCAGUGUCACUGCAAGGUAUGAGUCUCUUAUGAAAACAAUGGUCUUAUCACACUGUUAGUGUCUACAUUUGGUAGCACUCAAAUUUCUAUUUAUCUUUUGAAACAUUUUUCUCAAUGAAUUUCUUCAUUCAGAAUCAACCCCACUAUUUUAUCUCUUAAUAGAUGUUUUCCCUUUGUCUCAGGUGGGUGCUUUUCCUCCCACUCUGUAAGGGCUUUGCUGAGAUGACCCAACAUCACUCUCAGUGGCUCCCCAGUCACCGUUCCUCUUCCUUCCAAGCAUAGCUGUACGAUGACAAUAAGGACAUUUUAUCAUAAGUUUGUAGAAGUCUUUCUUGUAAAAUAAAAAUCUAGGCCUUUCCUCUGCUUUUUAUCUGUGUCUCCAUUUUACUUCGUUACUGAAAUCUUGCUAUACAGACUUCAUCCUUUCCCAACAUAGUUAUAUUCAACCAGUUAAGAUUAUAAUUCAUUUUUUAGUCAAUUACAGAGAAAAUAUAUUUAGUUCCUUGCCAUUGGCUUGGUAGUACAUGAAUGGUGUUUGUGCAGGGGACCUUUUAAUGUUCUCUUCUCUGAAUGCCUGUUACGGCUGGGGAAUGGCUGAAUACUACAGCUGUGCGCUAAAAUGAAUAUGGUAAGGAAGGCUAUCAGUCCAGACAGCAAGAGUUGGUUAGAUUGCAGUCAAGGAAUUUGCUACACUCUAAAAAUACUCAUCAGUGGAAGUAUUUUGAAGUGACUCAUCUCUGCACCACUUAUUUUAAAGCCCUAAGUAUGCUUUGGUUGAGAAUUGACUUUAUCAUUUGUAUGGAUGUCCCAGCAUGGGAAUGUUACUGUUGACAAUGUAAAUUGCAUCCACCUUCAAAUUCAGCCAAUAAUCUCAUCCCCAAAGUAUUUAAAACAGAUAGCCACUUAAACUAAAGCUUCCUAAAGCUAUGCAUAGUCCAAGCAUGCAGGGAGAAAAUAACAUGAGCCAGAGAAUUUAAAAUGAGCAGAUAGUCUGUCUGCUUCUUCAACAGUGUAAUGAAACAAAGACAAAUAGCACAGGGAACAUUUCUUUGUGAUCUACCAGCUCUGUUGUCUGCUCUGACUAUCGACAUAACAGUGAUUUUUUAUUUAAAAUUAAUCUACUCACUGUUUGGAACAACAGAAUGGGAAACCUCAUCCUCUCUCCUUGCCAAAUAGAAAAGAACAAGAUUAAAAGAAUUCACGCAAUGAAAAACAUUACUGUUUCCAAGGAACACUUCUAAAAAUCAUCAAAGCACUAAACCUUUAUGUAAAGCUGGUCAGAUAUAUUCACGAAGUAUUAAUAUUCUAUGUAUACUUUAUAAUAAAAAAUACCAGUUAGUAUUUGAUUUAAAAAACUGGUUUUAUCAGAAGCCUAGUUCAAACAGAAAAUUUGUAUCAAGAAAUUCCAAGUGAAUAAGAAAUAAUUCACGUUAGGGUUUCAUGUAUAUUUAAAAUAAUUUUAUAAAAUGAACAAUGAAUGCUUCAGGAAAUGCAAAGAAGUGUCUUUAAGAGAUAAUGUUUUACAUAUCAAAUAUGUGUUCUGUGUUGUGUUAUCCUGCUGUCAAGACAAAUGUUCAUUGCUUGCUGUUUGUCUUAAUAUCACUCUUACUAAGAGCUUUUUGUUUUGUUUCCUCUUAUGUGUGUGCAUGUUUAUUAGCAUGGAAUGUUUAUCACAGUCAGGGCAUUGUGGUUUAGCUCCUCUUUUUAAAACAAAAAGAAGAGGAUCAUUCUUUACAGGGAUGCAACAUAUUUUAUCCCUGUUUUAGAAAGACAUUUGAAAUGCUGCUCCAGGAGCAUUUUAAGCACCCUUGAUGGACAGAGAGACUUAGGAGAAACCAAAAUAGAUAACAGUGAAUUAAAAUACUUCACAGUAUACCAUCUUACCAAUCUUUGCAUAUCAAACAAAUGUCUUCAUUAAAGCUAUAAUUAAUGAUUAUUCUUAUCUGUAUAUUUGUGACAUAAAAGCCACUAUAUCUGACCCAGAUCCCUUUAUAACAACCAUUUGCAAUCAGGCAUCAUUUACAAUUUAAGAUGAAAAUAGAACAAGACAGACAAACAUACAGUAAAGGCAGGUGCAAGGCAAAAACAGGUCAAGGUUCACAGAAAAUAAAUAUGUAAAAUGGUUACAAAAUUGACACUUUGUCAAAAAAUGAUGCACAUAAUGUGUGAUGCACAUACUGUCCCGAUAAUAUGGUUUUUAUACAUCAUGGUAAAAAUGAGCAGCGGUCUGCUUGAAAUCCACGAUUUAAGUAGUGAUGCUUAGUUAAUUUUAGAUUAUUUUUUAAUGAAUAUCUCCGUGAAAUUUUUGAAAAAGUCAUUUUAAGUUAAGAGAACCUAUUGGCAAAGCAGUGCUGCAUUUUAUGUAAUCUCAACCUUCAUUAAUUAAGAAUUCCAAAGAGUUUGUUUUAAUUUUAAAACAUUCCACUUGGAAAUUGGAAUGAUUCAUUUAAUCAUGGAAAAUGAUAGGUAAUUGAGGGACAUAUUUCUGUGGAAAUUCCUGAAUUUUCCUUUAUCUCUGGCCCUCCAAAUAGUAUAUUUUAUCUUUUUAGCCAGUAACAAGAUGUUUUGUUGUUGUUGUUGUUUGUUUGUUUGUUUUCUUCACCUGCUGCAUCCCAAAUGCUACUACUGAACGUG
ensembl:lncRNA